UACGGGGGGAGCAAGCGUUGUUCGGAUUUACUGGGCGUAAAGGGCGCGUAGGCGGCCACCGCAAGUCGACUGUGAAAUCUCCGGGCUUAACUCGGAAAGGUCAGCCGAUACUGCGGGGCUAGAGUGCAGAAGGGGCAACUGGAAUUCUCGGUGUAGCGGUGAAAUGCGUAGAUAUCUGAAGGAACAUCAGUGGCGAAAGCGACUUCCUGGACCAAUACUGACGCUCAUGUGCGAAAGCGUGGGGAGCAAACAGG
rnacentral:rRNA from 1 species